GAUGAACGCUAGCUACAGGCUUAACACAUGCAAGUCGAGGGGCAGCAGGGAUUUAGCUUGCUAAAUCCGCUGGCGACCGGCGCACGGGUGCGUAACGCGUAUCCAACCUUCCCGUUACUCAGGGAUAGCCUUCCGAAAGGGAGAUUAAUACCUGAUGGUGUUUGAAAUUCGCAUGUUCUUCAAACUAAAGAUUUAUCGGUAACGGAUAGGGAUGCGUGACAUUAGAUAGUAGGCGGGGUAACGGCCCACCUAGUCUACCAUGUCUAGGGGUUCUGAGAGGAAGGUCCCCCACACUGGAACUGAGACACGGUCCAGACUCCUACGGGAGGCAGCAGUGAGGAAUAUUGGUCAAUGGUCGGAAGACUGAACCAGCCAAGUAGCGUGAAGGAUGAAGGUUCUAUGGAUUGUAAACUUCUUUUAUACGGGAAUAAAGCCCACUACGUGUAGUGGUUUGUAUGUACCGUAUGAAUAAGCAUCGGCUAACUCCGUGCCAGCAGCCGCGGUAAAAC
rnacentral:rRNA from 1 species